rnacentral:lncRNA from 1 species
AAGUUGCUAAACACAACCCAGACGUGGGGUUUAAUCAAAAAAGAUCAACACCCUUUUUUUCUAGAAUUACACGCCACUCAUCUCAUAUCAAGAGUAUGGAUAUUCAUCUAUAAAAUCAAGUAAACGAUGAAUGCAUCAAGUGAGACUUUAACUUUGAUUGCACGAAGAUGCUUAUUGCAUGUAAUAUAACCUUAUCUAUUGCUAAUCAUCCUACGUUCAAAAAUUUUAUGGAGAAAUACACGGGUAAAUUUUUACCUUCCCGAGGAACCAUCAUUAAUUAAAGAAGGAUGUUGGUAAUGAUGUCAUUUAUAGAAAUAUCCCCAUGUAAAUUGGUUGAGAGAAUUUUCAGCAUGUUUAGAGUCAUCCACACCAAAUUACGAAAUGGAACUCUGAUUUUUGUACCAUCUAACACUAAAAGGAUCAAGAAUUAUGAUACACAACUCAUUAAAUGGCAAAAACAAUUGCUUAAAUGGUCACAACAACGGGAGUAGUAGCUUUGGAUGUUUCUCAAAUAGUUGGUCUGACAUUAUUUUCUUCACUUAAAGACUUGGGAAUGAAUUAUGGUUGAUAAGCUCCAAAAAAAAGGGGUUCAGAAAACUCAUAAAAGGCAAAAACAACUGCUUAAAUGGUCACAACAACGGGGGUAGUUGCAUUGGGCGUAGCAUUAUAAUUAGCAAUUAUGUGUAUCCUUCGGGAUACUAGUAUGUUGUUAUACAAGCAAAAAUAACGGAAAAAAUAUUUUUUGAUGCUCUUAAUAAGGAGUAAUAUCGCCGGACAUAACUACAUAAUUAGCUUUUGCUAUAACUCCU